rnacentral:rRNA from 1 species
AUUGAACGCUGGCGGCAGGCCUAACACAUGCAAGUCGAGCGAGCGGCGGACGGGUGAGUAAUGUCUGGGAAACUGCCUGAUGGAGGGGGAUAACUACUGGAAACGGUAGCUAAUACCGCAUACCAUCAGAUGUUCCCAGAUGGGAUUAGCUAGUAGGCGGGGUAACGGCCCACCUAGGCGACGAUCCCUAGCUGGUUUGAGAGGAUGACCAGCAACACUGGAACUGAGACACGGUCCAGACUCCUACGGGAUGCAGCAGGGGGGAAUAUUUCACAAUGGGCGCAAGCCUGAUGCAGCCAUGCCGCGUGUGUGAAGGAGGCCUUCGGGUUGUAAAGCACUUUCAGCGGGGAGGCGUUAACCGCAGAAGAAGCACCGGCUAACUCCGUGCCAGCAGCCGCGGUAAUUC